GUCUGUAACUCACAGGUUGAGUUGACAACGGACAACAACCUUAGCUGAGUGAUAUUUAAAAAAAAUGUGUCAAAAUUGCAAUAUUCUUCACAGUUGAUAGAUUUGCAUUUUUAGGUGCUCUGGUGAAGACAAAACAACUCACUGAACAUUUUUGUAAAAUUAUUUAAAUGUACAGCAAAGACUGUGUGAAAGGGUGGAGCAGCUCAGGACAAACGCCUCAUUUCAACACUGACCUUAUUUUGGUUGGCAAAGGCUGUGUGGAAGGGUGGAGCAGCAACGCAUAAUUUCAACACUGACCUUACUUGGAUUCUUGGACCCUUCCUUUUCCCUGCUUAUUGGAAGAUUUAGUGUGAGCUGAGGCGUGACCGGAGUGUGAGGAAUGGCUGAGACCCCGCGAGUGUGGAGCACCUGUCCUGACUUUGAAUGGCAGCUCUUUGCCGAUUUCAAUACUAAACUGCUCACGUUUGGCACCUUUCUCCCUCAAAACCAUGUUCACAGUGAUAUUGUUGAUAGUCUCCUGGCAUCUCCCAUCUUCACAUGAUGUUGCAUUACACUGGGUUUUAAGAAAAACCUCACCAAUAAAAGCUCACUUAUCACUUCAAA